GACGAACGCUGGCGGCGUGCUUAACACAUGCAAGUCGAACGGAAAGGCCCUGCUUUUGUGGGGUGCUCGAGUGGCGAACGGGUGAGUAACACGUGAGUAACCUGCCCUUGACUUUGGGAUAACUUCAGGAAACUGGGGCUAAUACCGGAUAGGAGCUCCUGCUGCAUGGUGGGGGUUGGAAAGUUUCGGCGGUUGGGGCUGGACUCGCGGCUUAUCAGCUUGUUGGUGGGGUAGUGGCUUACCAAGGCUUUGACGGGUAGCCGGCCUGAGAGGGUGACCGGCCACAUUGGGACUGAGAGACGGCCCAGACUCCUACGGGAGGCAGCAGUGGGGAAUAUUGCACAAUGGGCGGAAGCCUGAUGCAGCAACGCCGCGUGCGGGAUGACGGCCUUCGGGUUGUAAACCGCUUUCGCCUGUGACGAAGCGUGAGUGACGGUAAUGGAUAAAGAAGCACCGGCUAACUACGUG
rnacentral:rRNA from 1 species